UACGUAGGGGGCAAGCGUUGUCCGGAGUCAUUGGGCGUAAAGAGCGUGUCGGCGGCCAGGUAGGUCGGUUGUGAAAACUGGAGGCUCAACCUUCAGACGUCGACCGAAACCCCCUGGCUAGAGUCCGGGAGAGGAGAGUGGAAUUCCUGGUGUAGCGGUGGAAUGCGCAGAUAUCAGGAAGAACACCCGUGGCGAAAGCGGCUCUCUGGAACGGUACUGACGCUGAGACGCGAAAGCGUGGGGAGCGAACAGG
rnacentral:rRNA from 1 species